CUCCAUUUGUCUCACACUUAACCACAUGCACACACAUUUUCUUGAGAAAGCCAGUGUCUGUGUUCUUCUGCACCUUUUUCCUGGAGUUGAAGCCGAAGCUGUACAUCUCAUUACUCCGGUGCUUAUGUUUUCUCCCUGAAUAUGUAUUUGAACAAUCCCCUCCCGAUCUGUUCUCCUGGGGCAGGAGGGGCAGGCUGCCUUUGCAGAGAGCAGAUGUGAUUUUUCUUUGUCCUUUAUACUCUUCCAUCUCCAAACUCACUCCCAGCUCUUCUCUUUGAACAGGUUUUGACCUGAUGGAUUUGUUCAGUGUGAAGGAAAUCUUGGGGAAGAGAGAGAAUGGCGUGCAGAGUUCUUAUGUACGGAUGGGAUCCUUCCCUGUGGUGCAAAGUACUGAGGAGGUGUUCCCCCAAGGUUUACCUGAUGAAUACGCCUUUGUCACAACCUUCCGGUUCAGGAGAACCUCUCGGAAGGAAGAUUGGUAUAUCUGGCAGGUCAUCGACCAGUACGGCAUCCCACAGGUCUCCAUCCGGCUGGAUGGUGAAAACAAGGCAGUCGAGUACAACGCUGUGGGUGCCAUGAAAGAUGCUGUCAGGGUGGUCUUCCGAGGUUCCCGGGUCAAUGACCUCUUUGACCGGGACUGGCACAAGAUCGCCCUGAGCAUCCAGGCCCAGAACGUCUCCCUGUACAUCGACUGUGCGCUGGUGCAGACACUACCCAUCGAGGAGCGGGAGAACAUUGACAUCCAGGGCAAGACUGUGAUUGGCAAGCGCCUCUACGACAGUGUGCCCAUCGACUUUGACCUACAGCGGAUUGUGAUCUAUUGUGACUCGAGACAUGCAGAACUGGAGACUUGUUGUGAUAUCCCCUCGGGUCCGUGCCAGGUGACUGUGGUGACAGAGCCUCCACCUCCACCGCCACCCCAGCGGCCUCCCACCCCAGGCAGUGAACAGAUUGGGUUUUUGAAGACCAUCAACUGCUCCUGCCCAGCUGGAGAGAAGGUAUUGUCUGCAGUCCACCCUCAGCCCCAGUCCACCCCUGGGUGGUGUAGUGGGAGUUUCCCAUCAUGCACGUGACCUGCCAGGGCAGGGGGGCACUGGGAGGCCCAUGGCUAUCAGCUCUCAGCACCCUGUGUUGUGCCUUGGAGCUCUUGCUUCUUGAUUUUUGUGCACACUGGAAGGGGAGAUCUGCACACCAGGCCCUGAUGAACGCUUUCUAGAAGUAGAAUGUACAUUCCCCAGGCUUCCCAGGUUACUCCUUUAUGAUCUCCACUUGGG
rnacentral:lncRNA from 10 species